ACCGCAGGUCCUUAUCUUUUGGAUUGUAAAUAACUGCCCUGGCAGUCUGAAUACUCCCUCUUGAAAUGUAACAGACGUCUGUGAAAAGAGCCAUUACUUAUCUGUUUCUGUAAGCAUGCCUUAUGUUAGAGACCCUUGCACAAAGGAAAAAAGCUCCAAUGAUAGAACAAGUCUAAGGUGAUGCCAAAGAACCUAUAAAUUUUGUGAAAAACUGUGGAUCAGAGCUCAGAAUUUGGAGUUUUGUUUUCCUCUGAGCUGCCUGGUGUAAAACAAUGUUUGGAGUUCCCCUCCUCUCUGAGUGCUGUUUGCUGCUUCUUGAUCAGUCUGUUUCCCCCAACAAUACAGUUAACCACCCCUCCUCAUCCUCAAAACACUUGGAUUCUAGAUCAUCCUGUUCUCCUUCCCAGGAUACCUCCAGCCCCAAUGCUCUUCUCAUGCCACUUCAGCCUGAAAGUUGCACCUACUCAGUGUCUUGCUGAUUUCACUCUCAUUUUUUUUUCAGGGAUGUGCUUGAAUACCAACUCUUCAAUGAAGUGUUCCCCAAUGACUUGAUGAAAGUAUGCCUUCUUCCCAGCCCUAACCAAUUUAUCUCCCUUUCCUGCUAAACCCUAACCUUUUCUGUUUUGAAGUACUGAGGAUUGAACCUGGUGACACUCUACCACUGAGCCACAUUUCUCCCUUUUAAAAAAAUAUUAAUAUAUAUAUUUAAUAUGGUGCUGGGAAUUAGAACCCAGGGCCUUAUGCAUGCGAGGCAAGCACUCUACCAACUGAGCUAUAUCUUCAGCUCUCCCUAGCCCUUUUUAUAUUUUAUUUAGAGACAGAGUCUCACUGAGUUGCUUAGGGGCUCAUUAAGUUGCUGAGGCUGGCUUUGAACUCAGGAUUUUCCUGCCUCAGCCUCCCAAGUUGCUGGGUUGAAGGCAUGUGCCACUGUGCCUGCCCCUCCCCACACCCAGCCCUUUUUAUUUUUUAUGUUAAGAUAGUGUCUUGCUGGGCUGGGGAUGUGGCUCAAGCGGUAGCGCGCUGGCCUGGCAUGCAUGCGGCCCGGGUUCGAUCCUCAGCACAACAUAC
rnacentral:lncRNA from 1 species